UACGGAGGGUGCAAGCGUUAAUCGGAAUUACUGGGCGUAAAGGGCGCGUAGGUUGUUAUGUAAGUGAGGUGUGAAAUCCCCGGGCUUAACCUGGGAACUGCAUCUUAAACUGCGUAACUGGAGUGCAAUAGAGGGUAGUGGAAUUUCCGGUGUAGCGGCGAAAUGCGUAGAUAUCGGAAGGAACACCAGUGGCGAAGGCGGCUACCUGGAUUGACACUGACACUGAGGCGCGAGAGCGUGGGGAGCAAACAGG
rnacentral:rRNA from 1 species